rnacentral:rRNA from 1 species
AUUGAACGCUGGCGGCAGGCCUAACACAUGCAAGUCGAACGGUAGCACAGAGAGCUUGCUCUCGGGUGACGAGUGGCGGACGGGUGAGUAACGUCUGGGAAACUGCCCGAUGGAGGGGGAUAACUACUGGAAACGGUAGCUAAUACCGCGUAACGUCGCAAGACCAAAGUGGGGGACCUUCGGGCCUCACACCAUCGGAUGUGCCCAGAUGGGAUUAGCUAGUAGGUGGGGUAAUGGCUCACCUAGGCGACGAUCCCUAGCUGGUCUGGGAGGAUGACCAGCCACACUGGAACUGAGAAACGGUCCAGACUCCUACGGGAGGCAGCAGUGGGGAAUAUUGCACAAUGGGCGCAAGCCUGAUGCAGCCAUGCCGCGUGUAUGAAGAAGGCCUUCGGGUUGUAAAGUACUUUCAGCGGGGAGGAAGGCGGUGAAGUUAAUAACUUCACCGAUUGACGUUACCCGCAGAAGAAGCACCGGCUAACUCCGUGCCAGCCGCCGCGGUAA